rnacentral:rRNA from 1 species
GAUGAACGCUGGCGGCGUGCCUAAUACAUGCCAGUCGAGCGAACGGACGAGAAGCUUGCUUCUCUGAUGUUAGCGGCGGACGGGUGAGUAACACGUGGAUAACCUACCUAUAAGACUGGGAUAACUUCGGGAAACCGGAGCUAAUACCGGAUGAUAUUUUGAACCGCAUGGUUCAAAAGUGAAAGACGGUCUUGCUGUCACUUAUAGCUGGAUACGCGCUGCAUUAGCUAGUUGGUAAGGUAACGGCUUACCAAGGCAACGAUGCAUAGCCGACCUGAGAGGGUGAUCGGCCACCCUGGAACGGAGACACGGUCCAUACUCCUACGGGAGGCAGCAGUAGGGAAUCUUCCGCAGUGGGCGAAAGCCUGACGGAGCAACGCCGCGUGAGUGAUGAAGGUCUUCGGAUCGUAAAACUCUGUUAUUAGGGAAGAACAUAUGUGUAAGUAACUGUGCACAUCUUGACGGUACCUAAUCAGAAAGCCACGGCUAACUACGUG